rnacentral:rRNA from 1 species
GAAUCCUCUUCUAUUAUUCCAUGCACGAACAUUCAGGCGAGACGCCUGUGUUAAGCACUCUGAUUUGUUCAAAGUAAACUCGCCAGCCGCCCGUCGCCGCCCGCGAAGGCGACGCCGGGGAGACCGGCACCAAGCCGGCGGGGCAGUGCGCGACCCGGGGGUCGGACCGCUCGCCGGCACAGAUCCAACUACGAGCUUUUUAACCGCAGCAAUAAUUCUAUGCAUUUUGAGAGCUGGAAUUACCGCGGCUGCUGGCACCAGACUUGCCCUCUCAUAGAUACUCGUUAAAGGGUUUACAUUGUACCCAUUCCGAUGACCGGCCUCGUAGAGAACGGCCUCGUUAUUUCUCGUCACUACCUCCUCACGCCGAGAGUGGGUAAUUUGCGCGCCUGCUGCCAUCCUUAGACGUAGUGGCCA